UACACACCGCCCGUCACACCCAUGGGAGUGGGUUUCACCCAGAACGUAGGUAGUCUAACCGCAAGGAGGACGCUUACCACCGGUGAGAUACAUGACUGGGGUG
rnacentral:rRNA from 1 species